rnacentral:rRNA from 1 species
AACGAACGCUGGCGGCAGGCUUAACACAUGCGAGUCGAGCGCCCCGCAAGGGGAGCGGCAGACGGGUGAGUAACGCGUGGGAACGUACCCUUUGCUACGGAAUAGCUCCGGGAAACUGGAAUUAAUACCGUAUGUGCCCUACGGGGGAAAGAUUUAUCGGCAAAGGAUCGGCCCGCGUUGGAUUAGCUAGUUGGUGGGGUAAUGGCCUACCAAGGCGACGAUCCAUAGCUGGUCUGAGAGGAUGAUCAGCCACAUUGGGACUGAGACACGGCCCAAACUCCUACGGGAGGCAGCAGUGGGGAAUAUUGGACAAUGGGGGCAACCCUGAUCCAGCCAUGCCGCGUGAGUGAUGAAGGCCUUAGGGUUGUAAAGCUCUUUCACCGGGGAAGAUAAUGACGGUACCCGGAGAAGAAGCCCCGGCUAACUUCGUGCCAGCCGCCGCGGUAAAAC